AUGCCAGAUCCGAGCCAUGUUGGUGACCUACACAACUCACGGCAAAGCCAGAUCCUUAACCCACUGAACAAGGCCAGGGAUCGAACCUGCAACCUUGCAGUUCCUGGUGGGAUUCGUUUCCACUGCGCCACAAAGGGAAAUCCACAGUGGUCUUUGAAAACCAAGAAUCCAGCUGAGAGUUCCUGUCAUGGCUCAGUGGUUAACAAACCCAACCAGUAUCCACGAGGCCGUGGGUUCCAUCCCAGGCCUUGCUCAGUGUGUUAACGAUCCAGCAUUGACGUGAGCUGUGGUGUAGGUGGCAGACUGGCUCGGAUCUGGCGUUGCUGUGUCUGUGGUGUAGGCUGGCAGCUACAGCUCUGAUUCAGCCCCUAGCCUGGGAAACUCCAUGUGCCGUGGGUAUGGCCCUAAAAAGACAAAAAAGACAAAAAAAAAAAAUCCUCCUGAACCCACAAUGGAUCAGAAAGGAGACAGUGGUGCAGCCCAGGGUGCAUGGCAGCUGGAGGUGAUGGAUCUUUGAAUCUCCUCAUACCUUUUUGGAGGAGAUGUUUUGAAGUGUGAAACACUGUUCCAGCAAGAGUCCUGAUGGGAUCCCCACCUCCUGUGACCGAAUACAACUCUGUGACCACAGCCAGCAGGAUGCCACUGAUGAUGGGAAGUUCAGAGUGACACCAGCGCAGAGAGGGAAGAGCCUGCUUCUUUAUGACAUGGCAGAGCUGCUCAGCUGUACGAGGAGCUGCUUUGAAGGGAAUUCUGUCCCUUGCAGCUGAAAGCAUGCCAAUGGAUUUGAGAGGACAAUCUGUGGUUGCCCCUGGGGACAGGAUCCAGGAAGUGGGAUGGGGGGCAGAUCUUGGGAAUUGAUCUCUAUCCGUCAUGGCUUAUUCCUAUUUUAUUGGGAAUAUCUGACAUAAAUAUGAGAAAAUGUUAAUGUGGAUUCUAGUUGCGGCUAUGAGCAGGGUUAUGCUUUUCUCUAUUUUCUUUCACUUUUUUUUCAAAAUAAUGAAAAAUUACUCAGUGGAAGGGUUUUUAAAUGGGGUCUUGAAAAGGGAGAGAGACAGAGAAGACAUUUCCACCAUGAUAUCUGUUUCCUAAAGCCAGAUCAGGAGUUCCCGCUGUGGCUCAGUGGGUUAAGAACCCGACUGGUAUCUAUGAGGAGGCAGGUUCCAUCCCUGGCCUUGCUCAGUGGGUUAAGAAUUAGGCAUUGCCCUGAGCUGUGGUGUAGGUCACAGAUGCAGCUCAGAUCUGUCUUGGCUGUGGCUGUGGCUGUGGUGCCGGCCGGCAGCUGCAGCUCCAAUUUGAACCUCUAACCUGGGAGCUUCCAUAUGCUGCAGAUAUGGCCCUAAGAAGAUGAAAAAUAAAAUAAAGUAAAAGAAAAGAAAAUAAAGCCAGGUCUAAGGACUAGCUAAGAUGAUCUUUCCAUUGGUUCUGUAAGAAACAUCGGGAUGGGAGGACCUUUGGUCCCUGGCCCCCUGCCGCCGGGACUUCAGGCUCACAGCCGAUCUGAAUGCUUAUGGUCCUUAGGGCUGGAUGUGGCUGUUUCUCUGGGACACUGGGGAGUAAGGAUCUGAUAGGUCUUUGCCCUCAUCCCGCCAGGCUUACGGCAGGGGACCAGGGAGCAUCCUCGGAAAUCCUCAGAAGAGAAGCAACCUAACCCAGAGCCCUUUCAGUCCCUGCUCCUUCCGCAGCGAUGGGUCACCAAAGCCAGCCCCCCGAACGUAGACCUUAGGAAGGAAGCAAGUGCUGUCUCGUGUGCAUCCCUGGGGGAUUGGCUCUAAUGAUGUCCUAGUUUAGGUUUCCCAAGAAACAGACCCUGAGACAGGGACGUGAGAUCAGGUGGUUUGGCAGGGGAGCGGGGGAGGUGAUCUCAGAUUGGGGAGUAAAGAAACAGGAGGCCAGUGACAGGGGGUGUGUUAUCAAGCAACUCAGCACUGCAGGCACCUGGAGCCACAGCCACUGUUGAGUUCUCAGACACAGUACAAACAUGCACCAGCAUCCACUGAAUUUGUUUGGUAUCCCAGGUCUGCCAGUCAUUGGUGAGCGGGGGGCGGGAGGGACAGGCAGUGCUAUGGCUGUGAACAGAGGAGGCUGGAGCAGAGCAGGUACUCAGGAAAAGGGGCGGGGGUGCUGACAGGUAGUCGAAAAGGGGCCCAGGGAUAUGCAAGGAGCGGAUCGUGUCUGCCACAAAUACCACAGGGCCCUGGGGCUGGCUUGCUGCCCGCCUAUCCCUCCCACUUUGUGGAAGUUCCUGGGCCAGGGAUCCAACCCACCCAGCAGUGAGAAUGCUGGAUCCUUACCCCACUGAGCCACCAGGGAAUUCCGGAUGCUCAGCGAUGCCAAGUGGGUAAGAACCCAGCAUCACCUGUCCUCCUGCUUUUAGCAACAGAACCCCAAUUUUCUUUGGGGGACCCACAUUCCUUAACAUACCCUUCUCUGCUCAUUGGGGGUUCUGAAGGUGGGGUUUGCCUGUUUGGCUCUAGGGGUCUCAGCUCCCACUAAUGGCGUAUAGCAGCCCCCUGGCCAUAGCCAUUGUUUCUGAGGCGGGUCUGUGUUCCAUUCCGGCCAAUAGGGAAGAGAGAACUCUCUUUCCAUCUCACUGAAAAAGGAUGGGAUAUAAGUCUGGAGAUGCUCCCACCAGGGAGAACCUCCCAGAGGAAGAAGCCAACAUAGCAAGGAGCAGAACCAAGAGAUGGAUAGUGUAGGAAUCCCUGUGCCAUCAUUUGAGCCCUGGAUCUAGCCACACCUGAAGACGCUAGACUUUCCAGCAGUCUAGUUCCAGUAAAGUCCCUUUUAAGUCAGCUGGACUUGGGUCUCUGUCACUUAUACCCCCAAGCUCUACACGGUGUGUAGUGUGGGUUUUUUUCCUUUUUAUGGCUGCACCUGCGGCAUAUGGAAUUUCCCAGGCUAGGGGUCAAAUCGGAGCUGCAUCUGUUGGC
rnacentral:lncRNA from 9 species